CAGAUUGCAGGCUGCAACUCGCCUGCAUGAAGUUGGAAUUGCUAGUAAUCGCGAAUCAGAAUGUCGCGGUGAAUACGUUCCCGGGCCUUGUACACACCGCCCGUCACACCAUGAGAGUCGAUAACACCCGAAGCCUGUGAGCUAACCGUAAGGAGGCAGCAGUCGAAGGUGGGGUUGAUGAUUGGGGUGAAGUCGUAACAAGGUAUC
rnacentral:rRNA from 1 species